UGUUGUUGGGGAAACUUUUCCAUUGUUGGAGGAGGAGCUUUCCACAUUUUUCACCGACCGUGUUCAGCGUGUACACGUUGUAGAACUGGACUUGGCUUUUUUGAAGUUGCUGGAGGUUUGACCGGGGAACUUCGAGUCGAUCUCCAAGUUGGAUUCUACUGAAGAGAGCGAAACAAGAUGGCGAGCCGUAACCCAGGAACUCUGUAACUGCCGUCUAGCAGGAGCCACACAUUCCGCUGGACAAUCCCAAUCAUCCAAACUGGUAUGAUCUACCCAUGUUUCCUGCUGAAUUAGCAUCGGGAACGGAAUAAACCCUGCAGGACCAUCAGAGGAAAGAGACAUUGAUCUAAACACAAAUUAUUCAGCUUUUUUUUCCUGAAUUUGUUGAAUUGUGUUUUAUUGUUUCUUUUCCUGAAACCCAUUCAAUGUCCUUUGUGUGUAUUGAAUGUGAAAUUGUCUGUUGGGUAGUAAUGGAAAUAAGAAAUGGUUAAACCAGGAAAUUAAAAUCUUAACUUCCUUAAAGAGAACUCUAAAUAGCUAAAUUAGAUUUAAAAGAUUAGAGAAUCGAUUAGACUGUAAAUUAACUAAAUUAACAGUAUUCAUCGGAACUAAAAUAGAACUAUAACCUAGGUUAAAAAAAAAUAAAAUAGUAAUCCUUUUAAAACCUAGCAUUAGGUUUAAAUUCCAAACAGGGGAACUAUUUUAGGAUCUAAAUGUGUGUCAUGUUAUGUCAACUGCUGUAAUAUUGUUGUUGUUCUUUCUUUGGAUAAAAAAUUAAGCCGGUAGUUCAAACUAUUUCCUGGUCUGUGGUCAUUAAUACUCUUCUACAUUUCUCUACUCCCGUAGUCGAACCUAGUACUGGUCUAUUGUCUAUCCGAUUAACUGUAAGUACAUCGUGAGUGUUACAGAAGUGGCGAGCCCAGCCAGGAGUAGGAAAUAGAACCUUAAAACUUUAUUUCUGACCCAGGAAAAAAAAGAAAA